GGCGGCGUGCUAACACAUGCAAGUCGAGCGAGAACGGGGGGGCAACUCCCUUAGUAAAGCGGCGCACGGGUGAGUAACACGUAGGUAACCUACCCCCGAGCCCGGGAUAACCUACCGAGAGGUGGGCUAAUACUGGAUAUGACCACGGGAAUUUCGGUUCCUGUGGUGAAAGGUGGCCUCUGCUUGCAAGCUACCACUCAAGGAUGGGCCUGCGCGCCAUUAGCUAGUUGGUGGGGUAAUGGCUCACCAAGGCAAUGAUGGCUAGCUGGUCUGAGAGGAUGGCCAGCCACACUGGGACUGAAACACGGCCCAGACUCCUACGGGAGGCAGCAGUGGGGGAUAUUGCGCAAUGGGCGAAAGCCUGACGCAGCGACGCCGCGUGGGUGAUGAAGGCCUUCGGGUCGUAAAGCCCUGUCGAGGGGGACGAAACGGUGCCGACCUAACACGUCGGUGCCCUGACGGUACCCCUAAAGGAAGCACCGGCUAACUCCGUGCCAGCAGCCGCGGUAAUACGGANGGUGCAAGCGUUGUUCGGAAUCACUGGGCGU
rnacentral:rRNA from 1 species